UACGUAGGGGGCUAGCGUUGUCCGGAUUUAUUGGGCGUAAAGAGCGUGUAGGCGGCCAGGUAGGUCUGGUGUGAAAACUCGAGGCUUAACCUCGAGAUGUCAUCGGAAACCAUCUGGCUAGAGUCCGGAAGAGGAGAGUGGAAUUCCUGGUGUAGCGGUGAAAUGCGCAGAUAUCAGGAAGAACACCAAUGGCGAAGGCAGCUCGCUGGAACGGUACUGACGCUGAGGCGCGAAAGCGUGGGGAGCGAACAGG
rnacentral:rRNA from 1 species